rnacentral:rRNA from 1 species
AUUGAACGCUGGCGGCAGGCCUAGCACAUGCAAGUCGAGCGGUAACACAGGGAGCUUGCUCCCGGGUGACGAGCGGCGGACGGGUGAGUAGUGUCUGGGAAACUGCCUGAUGGAGGGGGAUAACUACUGGAAACGGUAGCUAAUACCGCAUAAUGUCGCAAGACCAAAGAGGGGGACCUUCGGGCCUCUUGCCAUCAGAUGUGCCCAGAUGGGAUUAGCUAGUAGGUGGGGUAACGGCUCACCUAGGCGACGAUCCCUAGCUGGUCUGAGAGGAUGACCAGCCACACUGGGACUGAGACACGGUCCAGACUCCUACGGGAGGCAGCAGUGGGGAGUAUUGCACAAUGGGCGCAAGCCUGAUGCAGCCAUGCCGCGUGUAUGAAGAAGGCCUUCGGGUUGUAAAGUACUUUCAGCGGGGAGGAAGGUGUUGAGGUUAAUAACCUCAGCAAUUGACGUUACCCGCAGAAGAAGCACCGGCUAACUCCGUGCCAGCCGCCGCCGUAA